rnacentral:rRNA from 1 species
GACGUAGGGCGCGAGCGUUGUCCGGAUUUAUUGGGCGUAAAGAGCUCGUAGGCGGCUUGUCGCGUCGUCCGUGAAAACUUGGGGCUCAACUCCAAGCUUGCGGUCGAUACGGGCAGGCUAGAGUUCGGUAGGGGAGACUGGAAUUCCUGGUGUAGCGGUGAAAUGCGCAGAUAUCAGGAGGAACACCGGUGGCGAAGGCGGGUCUCUGGGCCGACACUGACGCUGAGGAGCGAAAGCGUGGGGAGCGAACAGG